GACGAACGCUGGCGGCGUGCUUAACACAUGCAAGUCGAACGGAAAGGCCCUGCUUUUGUGGGGUGCUCGAGUGGCGAACGGGUGAGUAACACGUGAGUAACCUGCCCUUGACUUUGGGAUAACUUCAGGAAACUGGGGCUAAUACCGGAUAGGAGCUCCUGCUGCAUGGUGGGGGUUGGAAAGUUUCGGCGGCUGGGGAUGGACUCGCGGCUUAUCAGCUUGUUGGUGGGGUAGUGGCUUACCAAGGCUUUGACGGGUAGCCGGCCUGAGAGGGUGACCGGCGACAUUGGGACUGAGAGACGGCCCAGACUCCUACGGGAGGCAGCAGUGGGGAAUAUUGCACGAUGGGCGGAAGCCUGAUGCAGCAACGCCGCGUGCGGGAUGACGGCCUUCGGGUUGUAAACCGCUUUCGCCUGUGACGAAGCGUGAGUGACGGUAAUGGGUAAAGAAGCACCGGCUAACUACGUG
rnacentral:rRNA from 1 species